GAUGAACGCUGGCGGCGUGCCUAAUACAUGCAAGUCGAGCGAACAGAUGAGGAGCUUGCUUUUCUGAUGUUAGCGGCGGACGGGUGAGUAGCACGUGGAUAACCUACCUAUAAGACUGGGAUAACUUCGGGAAACCGGAGCUAAUACCGGAUAAUAUUUUGAACCGCAUGGUUCAAUAGUGAAAGACGGUCUUGCUGUCACUUAUAGAUGGAUCCGCGCUGCAUUAGCUAGUUGGUAAGGUAACGGCUUACCAAGGCAACGAUGCGUAGCCGACCUGAGAGGGUGAUCGGCCACACUGGAACUGAGACACGGUCCAGACUCCUACGGGAGGCAGCAGUAGGGAAUCUUCCGCAAUGGGCGAAAGCCUGACGGAGCAACGCCGCGUGAGUGAUGAAGGUCUUCGGAUCGUAAAACUCUGUUAUUAGGGAAGAACAAAUGUGUAAGUAACUAUGCACGUCUUGACGGUACCUAAUCAGAAAGCCACGGCUAACUACGUG
rnacentral:rRNA from 1 species